rnacentral:rRNA from 1 species
CCUACGGGUGGCUGCAGUGGGGAAUAUUGGACAAUGGGGGCAACCCUGAUCCAGCCAUGCCGCGUGUGUGAAGAAGGCCCUCGGGUUGUAAAGCACUUUCAGUGAGGAAGAACGCCUGGUGGUUAAUACCCAUCAGGAAAGACAUCACUCACAGAAGAAGCACCGGCUAACUCCGUGCCAGCAGCCGCGGUAAUACGGAGGGUGCGAGCGUUAAUCGGAAUUACUGGGCGUAAAGCGCGCGUAGGUGGCUUGAUAAGCCGGUUGUGAAAGCCCCGGGCUCAACCUGGGAACGGCAUCCGGAACUGUCAAGCUAGAGUGCAGGAGAGGAAGGUAGAAUUCCCGGUGUAGCGGUGAACUGCGUAGAGAUCGGGAGGAAUACCAGUGGCGAAGGCGGCCUUCUGGACUGACACUGACACUGAGGUGCGAAAGCGUGGGUAGCAAACAGGAUUAGAUACCCUAGUAGUC